AUUUAAACACAAUAACCAAUAAUUAAUGGCUUUCAAAAAGCACUCUCUUAUUUUGUUGGUUCUCUUUCUUUCUGUUUUGCUUCUUACUGCUGAAGCAUUGGCCAGAAAACUUGGUGGUGCUUCGGAUCUUCAUACAUCUGCACAAGCAAGGAUUCUCGCCACCAAAGCAUCUGGCAAUCGAUGCUUGAUAGGAGCGGGAAUGCCAAGAGGUGAUGUCCCUCGUUGCCACAAUUAUUAGUAACAGUGAAAAGGUUGUGAUCUAUUUGGGAGAUGAAUAUUCCUUUUUCUUUUCCUUUUUGUAAUUUUUAUAUUUGUUUCUGCAAUUGUAUUGGAAGAACAAGACAUGUGUUUCAAAUUUAUGUGAAGUAUGUAAUAUUUUGAAAGUUUUUUAGUUAUUUAUGUACCUGGGAUAAUGACUUUCCUGAAUAUUAAGUGCUAGCUAACUGUGCAAUUCCCCUCUUCA